rnacentral:rRNA from 1 species
UACGUAGGGACCAAGCGUUGUUCGGAUUUACUGGGCGUAAAGGGCGCGUAGGCGGCGCGGUAAGUCACUUGUGAAAUCUCUGAGCUUAACUCAGAGCGGCCAAGUGAUACUGCAGUGCUAGAGUGUGGAAGGGGCAAUCGGAAUUCUUGGUGUAGCGGUGAAAUGCGUAGAUAUCAAGAGGAACACCUGAGGUGAAGACGGGUUGCUGGGCCAACACUGACGCUGAUGCGCGAAAGCCAGGGGAGCAAACGGG